CCUACGGGCGGCAGCAGUAGGGAAUCUUUCACAAUGGGCGAAAGCCUGAUGGAGCAACGCCGCGUGCAGGAUGAAGGCCUUCGGGUUGUAAACUGCUUUUAUAAGCGAGAAAUAUGAUGGUAACUUAUGAAUAAGGAUCGGCUAACUACGUGCCAGCAGCCGCGGUCAUACGUAGGAUCCGAGCAUUAUCCGGAGUGACUGGGUGUAAAGAGUUGCGUAGGUGGCAUAAUAAGUAGCUAGUGAAAUCUGGUGGCUCAACCAUUCAGACUAUUAGCUAAACUGUUAAGCUCGAGACCGUUAGGGGUAACUGGAAUUUCUAGUGAAGGGGUGAAAUCCGUAGAUAUAAGAAAGAACACCAAAAGCGAAGGCAGGUUGCUGGGACGGUUCUGACACUAAGGCACGAAAGCGUAGGGAGCAAACGGGAUUAGAUACCCUUGUAGUC
rnacentral:rRNA from 1 species